rnacentral:rRNA from 1 species
GAUGAACGCUGGCGGCGUGCUUAACACAUGCAAGUCGAACGGAAAGGCCCAAGCUUGCUUGGGUACUCGAGUGGCGAACGGGUGAGUAACACGUGGGUGAUCUGCCCUGCACUUCGGGAUAAGCCUGGGAAACUGGGUCUAAUACCGGAUAGGACCACUUCUUGGAUGUUGUGGUGGAAAGUUUUUUCGGUGUGGGAUGAGCUCGCGGCCUAUCAGCUUGUUGGUGGGGUAAUGGCCUACCAAGGCGUCGACGGGUAGCCGGCCUGAGAGGGUGUACGGCCACAUUGGGACUGAGAUACGGCCCAGACUCCUACGGGAGGCAGCAGUGGGGAAUAUUGCACAAUGGGCGCAAGCCUGAUGCAGCGACGCCGCGUGGGGGAUGACGGCCUUCGGGUUGUAAACUCCUUUCGCUAGGGACGAAGCGUUUUGGGACGGUACCUGGAGAAGAAGCACCGGCGAACUACGU